GCGGCGGACGGGUGAGUAACACGUGGGUAACCUGCCUGUAAGACUGGGAUAACUCCGGGAAACCGGGGCUAAUACCGGAUGGUUGUUUGAACCGCAUGGUUCAAACAUAAAAGGUGGCUUCGGCUACCACUUACAGAUGGACCCGCGGCGCAUUAGCUAGUUGGUGAGGUAACGGCUCACCAAGGCAACGAUGCGUAGCCGACCUGAGAGGGUGAUCGGCCACACUGGGACUGAGACACGGCCCAGACUCC
rnacentral:rRNA from 1 species